GGGAUAGCCCUGUCAAAAGAAAAAAGAAAUAAGAUUUAUCACCAAUAUAAAAAAUCGAUAACAAAUACAACCCCCCCCCCCAACAAAUAAAUCCAGAUAGCAAUUGUUCCUUUGCCAAGUGUUCAACAACUAACAGUAUGUGACAAUAGCAUCAAUUUUCAAAUAUAAUUGUUAGACUAAAUCUCUAACACUCUUAUAGAGUAUGGAAAAAGCAAUCUAAAAUUGGAAUACAGAGCUAACGUAUACAUUUUGAACCAAAAAAACAAAAACAAAACACAUCCAUCCCUGAUUUUGUAACCAAAUUUUUUAUCAAUGCGUACCAGACCUAAUUUGUGAUAAAGCUUUUACCGUAGUUUUUUUUAAAACAGGCGAGGCCACGUUUUUGCUUUAUUCAUUGUCCUUUCUCACUGUAAACUAAAUUAAUUAUUUUAUAUUCUCCCCCCCCCCCCCCCCCCCAGUUUCUAAGAAGUAUGGACUCUUCAUCAUCACCAUGUUUGUAAAUUAAAGUACUUAUUUAUAAGUGAUGUCAAGUAAUUCCUCACCUGCAUAGUACAGUCAUACUUCGAUCUAGUAUCGGUUUUAAUGGCCAAUAUUAUGCAUCAUAAUCCAAUUGUCAUUUGUAUUUACAAAUUCUAAUGCAUAUCGUAAUACUUAAUUUUAAUUUCAUAAAAAAAUCAUAUUUAUGCACAUCUUUAUACUUGAUUUUACCCUCAAUUCAUAUUUACGCAAAUAUACACCUUAUAUGAGCUAUGAAGAAUAUACCUGUGUGGCAUUUGUAUGACGGGUCCUGACCCCGAUGGUCCCUUGUCCUUCAGUCUGGAUGUCCAUCCUGCUGUGGGUUUCAACAGUCUGCUAGGAUCGCGAUCCACCUCAAUAUCAACCUGAAGAACAUCAUCAAAUGUCAGCAAACAUCAGACAAUAAAAUACUAGUAAUAGCAC
rnacentral:misc_RNA from 1 species